UACGGGGGGAGCAAGCGUUGUUCGGAUUUACUGGGCGUAAAGGGCGCGUAGGCGGUCGGGCGCGUGGGGUGUGAAAUCUGGCCGCUUAACGGCCAGGCGCCAUCCCAUACGGCUCGACUGGAGUGAUGCAGAGGUCGAUGGAAUUGCCGGUGUAGUGGUGAAAUGCGUAGAGAUCGGCAGGAACACCCAGGGGGAAACCAGUCGACUGGGCAUCUACUGACGCUGAGGUGCGAGAGCGUGGGGAGCGAACCGG
rnacentral:rRNA from 1 species